GAUGAACGCUGGCGGCGUGCUUAACACACGCAAGUCGAACGAUGAAGCUGGAGCUUGCUCCGGUGGAUUAGUGGCGAACGGGUGAGUAACACGUGAGCAAUCUGCCCUUGACUCUGGGAUAACUGCGGGAAACUGUAGCUACUACCGGAUACUUUCACUGGAAGGCAUCUUCUGGUGAAGAAAGAAUUUCGGUCAAGGAUGAGCUCGCGGCCUAUCAGCUUGUUGGUGAGGUAACGGCUCACCAAGGCGACGACGGGUAGCCGGCCUGAGAGGGUGACCGGCCACACUGGGACUGAGACACGGCCCAGACUCCUACGGGAGGCAGCAGUGGGGAAUAUUGCACAAUGGGCGCAAGCCUGAUGCAGCAACGCCGCGUGAGGGAUGAAGGCCUUCGGGUUGUAAACCUCUUUUAGCAGGGAAGAAGCGAAAGUGACGGUACCUGCAGAAAAAGCACCGGCUAACUACGUGCCAGCCGCCGCCGUAA
rnacentral:rRNA from 1 species